rnacentral:lncRNA from 1 species
ACUCUAAAACUUCCUUCAGUCCAAGUCUGCUGGCAACGAACUUCCUCAGUUUUUGUUUAUCUGGAAAUGUCUUUAUUUCUCAUUUUUGAAAGAUAGUUUCUCCGGACACUGAGGUUUUGCUUGUAUUGUCGGUGAGCCUCCUGGACUGAAUCUGCUGGAUCUGUCCCUCCAUGUUGUGCAGCCAUGAUGUUUCUGCUCAGGUGCUUUUUCUUUUAAUUCUUGUUUCAUUUUCAGACCUGACUCCUUGGGGGUUGCCCCUGCACCUGCAGGGUUUAGUGAUCCGCCAGUGAUUGGUUAAAGGUCCUGCUCACACCCCUGGAGCCAACUAGGCUCCAAUCUCUGCUCGGUGAUCUGUGUGGGGUUAAGAACACCCAGUUCAGGGCUCCCCCCAACUGUGACUUUCCGCUGGGCCCUUCUGCAUGUUCCCUAUGCUGUUUCAGCGUCCCCGGCCACCUGGGCUGUGCAGGGAGCUUGGGACGCCUCUGCUCUUGUCUGCAAGUUGGUCAGGCGAGUGUGGAGAGCUUUCCAAGUCUUUCUGUGGCUGCAUCAUUUCCAGGGCCUCUGCUACAUGUCUGACCAGUCUACUGUCUGACCCCAGUGGGGCAGCUAUUUAGGCUGCCAGAGCUGCCUGUUCACUUGCUGCUGAGAUCCAACUGGUACUGACGAUGCCAGUGGGCGGGGCUUUUCACCUUCGGCUCCAAAUCAAGUGCUGCCGCCCCCCGCCCGCCCCGCAGCCAGCUCUAUGGUCUGCCACCCCCCCCCCCAACGAUGACGGAACUACUACACUGAUGGGGGGUUAGAGGUGGCAGGGGGUAGUCCCCAGCCAAGAACAUGAGAAACUCCCCCUGCGGGGGGUGGACAGGGAAGGAGGGAGUUUGGGGUCAGCUGUUAAAUACUGGAUGGAGAACAACAGGUCCCACUGCGUGGCGUGGGAACCAACGAGACGCAAUCCCCUCCCACAAACCAUAACAGAGGAAAACGUGAGAAAGAAUAUACAUGUGUAUAACUGGGUCCCUUUGCUGUGUGGCAGAAAUGAACACGCUAUUGUAAGUCCACUAUACUUCACUAAAAUUAAAGAAACAAACACCCCACUGUCCUUAUCUGAAUGAAGUUCAGCCGUUCCUUCUGAUUAAAUGCUUUUUUUUUUUUUUUUUUUUGUCUUUUUGCUAUUUCUUCGGCCGCUCUCGCGGCAUAUGGAGAUUCCCAGGCUAGGGGUCUAAUUGGAGCUGUAGCCACAGGCCUACACCAGAGCCACAGCAACGCGGGAUCCGAGCCGCGUCUGCAACCUACACCACAGCUCACAGCAAUGCCGGAUCGUUAACCCACUGAGCAAGGGCAGGGACCGAACCCGAAAUCUUAUGGUUCCUAGUCGGAUUCGUCAACCACUGCGCCACGACAGGAACUCCAGAUGCUUCUCAAUUUAGUAGUAGUGGUAGUGGUGGCGGUGGCAGUAGCAGUUUUUAUGGCCUUACCUGCGGCAUCUGGAAAUUCCCAGGCUAGGGGUCACCUCGGAGCUGCAGCUGCUGGCCACAGCCACAGCCACACCAGAUCCAAGCUGCAUGUGGGACCCACACCACAGCUCGAGGCAAAACGCUUCUCAAUUUGACGCUGGCAGCUGUUGUACUUCCUGAGUCCUGCAGUGGUUGUUUUUUGACACCUCUGCCCAGUGUAUUCUUGUCUUAGAGGAGAGAGUGUCCCACUUCCGCACUCACUCCACAUACCGAAGUCCCGCCUCUGUCCUCAGCCACUGUCAAAUCUUUCAUCUUCAACGUGCCACUCAGCCACACGACAGUCACACGACUUCAGGCUACAGGUCGAAUGUGGGCUCGUAAAGGGGAACGAGCAUCCUUCCGGCCCAGCUGCCUCCCACACUGUUACACCACGACUUCCGGGUCCUGAGAGAGCGAAUGAUAACGUUUUAAAAUUGGCUCCGUAACUCCACCUCGUCUGAAAGUCAACCAAAUGCCUGUGUUCCCUUUGAGUCUGAUCCCUGGACCCGGAGCAGCUUUCACCUUGCUUCUUCUCUUUUUCUGUUUUGGCGGCCCUGCAGCACAUGGAGUUCCUGAGCCAGGGAUCAGAUCCAAGCUGCGGUUGCAGCUUACACCGCAGCUGCGUCAGCUCGAGAUCUUCAACCCACUGUGCCGGGCCGGGGGAUCGAACCUGUGGUCCUGGCGCUGCAGAGAUGCCACUGAUCCCGUCGCGCCAUAGUGGAAACUCCUUACCUUGAUUCUUUGAUAGAAUCAAGAUAGAGAGAUAGAGAGAUAGAGAGAUAGAAAGCUCUCGGCUGUUUUCAGUUUUCCUUCCCUGUAAGUCACCCACUCUCCCUACUGGCCGGCAUCUGAGGUCGCCCCGCUACGCAGAGCUGGUUACCCAACCUCUGGCGACGACAGACAGGCCCAGAGCCUCUGGAGUUCAUCUGUACCACUGACAAGCCCAGGAUUUAUUUCCCUUUGCUCUAAUAAAGCUUGUUUCCUUCCU